UACGUAGGGUGCGAGCGUUGUCCGGAAUUACUGGGCGUAAAGAGCUCGUAGGUGGCUUGCCGCGUUGUUCGUGAAAUCUCACGGCUUAACUGUGAGCGUGCGGGCGAUACGGGCAGACUAGAGUACUGCAGGGGAGACUGGAAUUCCUGGUGUAGCGGUGGAAUGCGCAGAUAUCAGGAGGAACACCGGUGGCGACGGCGGGUCUCUGGGCAGUAACUGACGCUGAGGAGCGAAAGCGUGGGGAGCGAACAGG
rnacentral:rRNA from 1 species